rnacentral:rRNA from 1 species
UUGACUGAGUGGCGGACGGGUGAGUAACGCGUGGGUAACCUGCCUUAUACAGGGGGAUAACAGCUGGAAACGGCUGCUAAUACCGCAUAAGCGCACAGCUUUGCAUGAAGCAGUGUGAAAAGAUUUAUCGGUAUAAGAUGGACCCGCGUCUGAUUAGCUGGUUGGUGGGGUAACGGCCUACCAAGGCGACGAUCAGUAGCCGGCUUGAGAGAGUGAACGGCCACAUUGGGACUGAGACACGGCCCAA